rnacentral:lncRNA from 1 species
GAGAUAUGUGGCCAGCUGGACCAUGUUCAGAAGUUCAUCACCUGGGCUACGACCCACCACUGCAGAGGCCCGGUACUCUUCAGCAGGGCUCUGAUUUCUCUCCAGAUGCAGCAACUGUUUGAGUCGUCACUCCACUCAGACUCUUGGACUCCUGUCAGGAUCAAAUUCAACUGGGAUGCUAGUUACUGGACCAAGCAGAUUUCCUCUUUAGGUCAGCUGACUGUUGAAGGAGGAAACUGCACUUAUCCUCAGGGCUUGGCCUGCUCCAGUAUUCUGAGGCCUCAGCCCAUCCCCUGCUUAGGUCUGUCGUCUGUGUGUCACAGAGGACCAGAACCAGGCUGUGGGUACCAGAACUGCUGCGAGCCCCAGAUGUGUUGCCUUCAUGGCAUUCCCUCUCAGCCAGAUCCAUCCAGUCUGGAAAAAAGCCAGCUGGAAGUCCCACUUUAUAACUCCAGCUGUGUUCAGCCUGCCCUUAUCUCUGCCUCCUUGCACCAGAGCCAACAGCUCCAGAGGUUUUGGGAGCCAGACAGCCCAUCGCAAUGUCCUCCCCCUUCAUCACCUGUCCCAAUCAUGGGACCCAUCCAGUUUAACUGCAGUCGAGGAUCUACAUCUCAACCACAGGCUGCUGCCUCUCAGCCCCAGUCUCAAACUAAAUCUUAUCUCUAUCGUCAACAACCGAGAGAAGUUCUUCCAGACAGCCAGGCUCAGCCGAGUGCAGCCCGUAGCAGGCAAGGCCAACGUCAGAGGAAGCUGUCGACCAGCAUGGCUCUGCAGCACGAUCUCAGCCACACAGCCGCGGACAGAGAUGUGAUGACUGAAGAGAACUGGGAGGAGAACUGCAGAGUGGAGGAGGCUCGGACAAAUGAGCUGCUGGAUGUGGAGCUGCGGCAGGACAGGAGGGAGCAGAGUCCUGUCCAACAGCAGCAGCAGCUCCAUGUUCCUCCUGCAGCAGAGCUGAGAAAAGAGCUGCAGAGAAACAGACCUGCACUGAUGCUGAGAGACCGCAGAAAUAGCAGGAGAUCCACAUCCCUGGAGGUGUCGGUGACAGCCCACAAGUGUGUAACUGAUGUGCAGAGCAGCAGGCUCAGCCCUAGUUUAGUGUGCACGAGGAAGGAAAGACGCUCCCAGAGCAUCCCGGCAGAACUGGCAACCCCAUCCACCAGCCCUUACACUGAAAGGCCCACAGGAUGCACUCACAGCCUACAGGCAGGAGCUGCAACUAAGUAUGUCAGUAUGGAUCCCAGACAGAGGAGAGCUUCAGAUGGGGUGCUUUGUGUGGUCAAGGAAACUUCGUCUGACACAGCGCCCUCCACAGGCCACCGGUCUCCUCUACUAUCUUAUAAAACAGAGCCAGAUCAUUCUAUUACUUAUGUAAAUGAAGAGAUUGAUUAUGAGGCCAAAGGGAAAUGCAC